CCUACGGGAGGCAGCAGUGGGGAAUAUUGCGCAAUGGGCGAAAGCCUGACGCAGCGACGCCGCGUGAGGGAUGACGCUCUUCGGAGUGUAAACCUCUUUUGCCUGAGACGAAUUGUCAGCUUUAGCUGAUUUGACUGUAUCGGGUGAAUAAGCACCGGCUAACUCCGUGCCAGCAGCCGCGGUAAUA
rnacentral:rRNA from 1 species